GGGCGGGGCGGGUGCUGGACCCGGAGGGGCCUUCCGGCAACUUUUUGGUUGGUGCCGCCCCGCCCAGGCCCCUUUUAAACUUGAUCUCCGCAGUGCCCUCCCUUUUCGGCCGCGGCGCGUGACUGGGCUUGGUGGAGUUUCAAGAUGCUGAUGAACUUAAGGUCUGGCGCUUGAAAGAAUCAGUGAAGCUUUUCAAGUAGAGGAGUACUCUACUUUGAAGAAAGGAAUGGAACAGAAGGUGUCUGCAUAACUAAAUGGGGAUCUAGAGAAAGUGGAGACUGCCUCUGGAGCAGGGAGGUGAGUGGACCAGAUCACUGUGGGCCUGGGCCUACUCAGCUGAUUUUCAAGCUAAAACCAGGGGUAACUUUUCCUCUUGAGACGAAAGCCAUGCUCACAUUCUGUGAACAGCCAGAGAUGUGUUCGAAAGGCUUACUUUUAUUUUGUACUAGAAAAGAUUGUCUUUCCAAAAUUUACCUCGUAUUCAUAAACUGGAAAGUUCUGAUGGCAAUAUUUUGUUACAAAAUUGUCAUUAAUCACAAUCCAGGAUUAUGCCACCAUGACUAGAAGGCCCCCUAAUGGAGUUUAUCUGCACUGCAAGGGGCCAGUUGUCUCAGAAUCAUCCUCCGUUGACAUCUCCAUCUCCAGGACAGCUCCACACUAAUCUGUUUCAAAGACAAAAUCCAGUCUAAUCAGUUUGAUGUAUGUUUCUGGGAAUAGAGCCGAAUGUUGUAGCUGAUGGAAUGGAGUCUCAUACCAUUGAUUUUGCAGCUGGACAAGUGCCCUGCCAUGUUACUGCCACUCUUUAAGGCAGAAUAGAGCACAUUGUAUCAUUUAUAGGCCUCUCACAGUGAGAAAUAUGUGGAACUUUGGAAAUCAGAAUCUAAAACUGCAGUCCAAUGGGGUAGCCACUAUUCACAUGUGCUAUUGAGUACCUAAAAUGUGGCUAGACCAAGUUGACAUGUGCUGAAGGGUGAAAAACACCAGGAGUGAAGAAUUAACUUGAAAAAAAUGUAAACUAUCUCAAUUUUAUAUUGAUUACAAAUUAAAUGAUGUUUUGAAUAUAUUGAGUUAAAUGAAAUACAUUUUUUAAUGAUACAUGAUGCGUAUUAUAUUUCUGUUGGACAGUACUGGUCUAAAACAGUUGAUUCACUAUCCAGUAGAGAGAAAGGUAUUGCUGUUUUACCAUAUGUGACCUUCAGGGAAAAGAAGAAUAAAAUUAGCACUUGAAAAUGGAAAAA
rnacentral:lncRNA from 1 species